rnacentral:rRNA from 1 species
GACGAACGCUGGCGGCGUGCUUAACACAUGCAAGUCGAACGGUGACCCAGGGCUUGCCCUGGUGAUCAGUGGCGAACGGGUGAGUAACACGUGGGCAACCUGCCCCUGACUUCGGGAUAACUCCUCGAAAGAGGAGCUAAUACCGGAUACGACCACUUCGGACAUCCGAUGGUGGUGGAAAGUUUUUCGGUCAGGGAUGGGCCCGCGGCCUAUCAGCUAGUUGGUGGGGUAAUGGCCUACCAAGGCGACGACGGGUAGCCGGCCUGAGAGGGCGACCGGCCACACUGGGACUGAGACACGGCCCAGACUCCUACGGGAGGCAGCAGUGGGGAAUAUUGCGCAAUGGGCGAAAGCCUGACGCAGCGACGCCGCGUGAGGGAUGAAGGCCUUCGGGUUGUAAACCUCUUUCAGCAGGGACGAAGCGAAAGUGACGGUACCUGCAGAAGAAGCACCGGCUAACUACGUGCCAGCAGCCGCGGUAAU